AUGGACCUGUCGUCAGACAGAACACUGAAUAAUAAUAAUAAUAAUAAUAUUGUUUUCUGACAACUAUGGAUAUGUUGUAAUAGUAUGACUAACUUGAAAUAGGACUGAUGUAUUUGCUGACAGCUAGUUGUUAUGAACCAGUUAUGACCACCGCAUCAAGUCAUAAAUGCAAACACAUGUACGUCAGUUUGUUUUUGUUCUUGAACUAAUUGGAUUUUAGGUUUUCCAUUUCCAUCAAAUCCCAUCUAAGUAUCGGUCUUUUCAUUUCUUUUUGGAAAAGCCAGUGGGCAUCGUGGCUGACAGUGGAUUGGAAAAUUGUGGUUUGAUCCCUGGAAUGGGCAAAGAAUUUCUCUUCUAACCUCUACAUCCACCCAGUCUCUUACUCCGCGGUUACUGGAGAUCCUUUUCCAAGGUCAUGAUGUUGACCACUAACCCCAUCUGGUGCCAAGGUCAAGGAUGAUUAGCAGCUGCACUGCCUCUCCCUACAAGAGCCCCCAUUUCAUGUAACAGAACAGCUUUACUUCAGCAACUGGUAAACAUUCCUUCUACACGUCUUUCUCUUAAUUAUUUGAUUUCUCUGAGUAUAAUUGUUUGAUGGUUUUUCCUUUGUUACUAUUUUUAGCCACAGAUUACCAUUGCUUCUGGUUUUGUUUUUGAUAGUUUUAAGUUAUAUUGAUUUACAAAUUGUAUGUGUAUUUAAGCGAUAUGCUGAAAUCUGUAAUUCAUUAGGUUUUGAAAUCAAUAUCUUAUCUGCGUAAUAGUUCAAGUGAAAAUAGCUGUAACAAUCCACAUCCUUGUGAUAUUUAUUUCAUUGUUAUGGCAGGUUCAGAGAUUUAUCCAACCUUUCAACGAAUAUUUAUUUCGUACUACAGCAAGUGUGCGAGUUGGUGACCUUGGAUUAUACGUGCCAGAAAAAGCCGUCUUGAUUUGUUUUCUUAUUCUUCAUCCCGUGCCUUGUUCCACACAAUUUCUGAGCGUGACUGUACUUCGUUAGAAUGUUUUCGCGAAUUGUUCAAACAAGCAACCGUUUAAUGCGCUGUAUUUCUACACGAAACAAUUGAAAGAAGACUGGCACAAGAGACGUUGUGUGGGACUGCGUAACAAAUUUAGAAGGCUUUUAACAUUCACCCUGAAAACACACACACAAAAAUGCGUGAAUAACUCUGAAAUGUAUUUCCUUUCAGAUCGCUGUAGCCAAAUCUGCCACAGCGUUGCAACAGUACGAGCUGUAGAAUAAUUAGAAGUGGUUGGUUGUCGACGACACGAAAUCUGGAUCAAAAGUCAGGAUCCGUGAGUUGGUACUUACCUAAGAAAGUCUAAGGUCGGCUACUUCACCACUAUUCAGGAUGUCUGCAACAUUUCGUGUUUUCUUUACGGUGGCAGUGGUGAUGCACGUAUGCGUUUAACCAACAUCGUGACGCGAAGGGGAAACACGGCAUAUCUUGGAUGCGACUGCCUUUUUCACCAAAAAUGUAAAUAUGUAAGCCUCAAAUGGAUGGUCUGUGCAUCAAACGUUUGGGGGCAGAAUAAUGAAAAUAAAACCCUCAUUUUCUGAUUGA